rnacentral:rRNA from 1 species
UACGUAGGGUGCGAGCGUUAAUCGGAAUUACUGGGCGUAAAGCGAGCGCAGGCGGUUUUGUAAGCCAGGUGUGAAAUCCCCGGGCUCAACCUGGGAAUGGCAUUUGGGACUGCAAGGCUGGAGUGCGGCAGAGGAGACUGGAAUUCCUGGUGUAGCAGUGAAAUGCGUAGAUAUCAGGAGGAACACCGAUGGCGAAGGCAGGUCUCUGGGCUGACACUGACGCUCAUGCACGAAAGCGUGGGGAGCAAACAGG